ACAAUCAAUAAGCGGAGGAAAAGAAAAUAACAAUGAUUUCCCUAGUAACGGCGAGUGAAGAGGAAAGAGCUCAAAGUUGGAAUCCGGCUGCCCUAGGUAGUUGGAGUUGUAAACUGGAGAAGUGUUUUCCAGGCGAGCCAAGCGAAUAAGUCCUUUGGAACGGGGCAUCAUAGAGGGUGAGAAUCCCGUCUUUGGCUUGAGCGAUUCGUCUAUUGCGAUACACUUUCAAAGAGUCAGGUUGUUUGGGAAUGCAGCCUAAAUUGGGUGGUAAAUCUCACCUAAAGCUAAAUAUUGGCGAGAGACCGAUAGCGAACAAGUACCGUGAGGGAAAGAUGAAAAGAACUUUGAAAAGAGAGUUAAACAGUAUGUGAAAUUGUUGAAAGGGAACCGUUUGGAGCCAGACCGGCCGUUCUAUAAUCAAUCUCUGCCUCGGUGGGGAUGCACUUGUAGGGCGUUGGCCUGCCAACAGCAAUUUUGCCUGAUGGAAAAAACCAUGAGGAAUGUGGCCCUUCGGGGUGUUAUAGCCUCUUGGAAAAUACAUUGGGCGGGAUUGAGGACUGCAGCAAAUGCUCUUUAGGGCGAAAUACCUGGGCGCUUGUGUUGAAGACGUGUAGAAUCUCUGCUUCGGGUGGUGCUAUGCUCUGAUGUGCAACUCGCUUAGACUAUUUUCUAUUUUUGCUUAGGUUGUUGGCUUAAUGACUCUAAAUGACCCGUCUUGAAACACGGACCAAGGAGUCCAUCAUAGGUGCGAGUCUUUGGGUGACAAACCCGCAGGCGCAAGGAAACUGAUGGGUACGAAGGCCUCACGGCUGGCAGUACCGUCCGGCAAGGACGUUUUAACAGAAUUGACCGCGAUAAAGCACUUAUGCUGGGACCCGAAAGAUGGUGAACUAUGCCUGAAUAGGGUGAASCCAGAAGGAAACUCUGGUGGAGGCUCGUAGCGAUUCUGACGUGCAAAUCGAUCGUCAAAUUUGGGUAUAGGGGCGAAAAGAAACUAAUCGAACCAUCUAGUAGCUGGUUCUGC
rnacentral:rRNA from 1 species